rnacentral:rRNA from 1 species
AUUGAACGCUGGCGGCAGGCUUAACACAUGCAAGUCGAGCGGAGUGAUGGUGCUUGCACUAUUACUUAGCGGCGGACGGGUGAGUAAUGCUUAGGAAUCUGCCAUUUAGUGGGGGACAACAUUCCGAAAGGAAUGCUAAUACCGCAUACGUCCUACGGGAGAAAGCAGGGGAUCUUCGGACCUUGCGCUAAAUGAUGAGCCUAAGUCGGAUUAGCUAGUUGGUGGGGUAAAGGCCUACCAAGGCGACGAUCUGUAGCGGGUCUAAGAGGAUGGUCCGCCACACUGGGACUGAGACACGGCCCAGACUCCUACGGGAGGCAGCAGUGGGGAAUAUUGGACAAUGGGCGGAAGCCUGAUCCAGCCAUGCCGCGUGUGUGAAGAAGGCCUUUUGGUUGUAAAGCACUUUAAGCGAGGAGGAGGCUCUCCUAGUUAAUACCUAGGAAGAGUGGACGUUACUCGCAGAAUAAGCACCGGCUAACUCUGUGCCAGCAGCCGCAGUAACAC